rnacentral:rRNA from 1 species
GAUGAACGCUGGCGGCGCGCCUAACACAUGCAAGUCGAACGGCACCCCUCCUCGGAGGGCAGCGUGUGGCGAACGGCUGAGUAACACGUGGAGAACCUGCCCCCUCCCCCGGGAUAGCCGCCCGAAAGGACGGGUAAUACCGGAUACCCCGGGGUGCCGCAUGGCACCCCGGCCAAAGCCCCGACGGGAGGGGAUGGCUCCGCGGCCCAUCAGGUAGGCGGCGGGGUGACGGCCCACCGUGCCGACGACUGGUCGCCGGGUUGGGGGACCGCCCGGCCGGAUGGGGAGUGAGGCACGGGCCAGGCACCUACGGGAGGCGGCGGUGGGGAGUCUUAGGCAAGGGGGGGGACCGAAGCGCAGCGACGCCGCGUGAGGGACGGAGGCCUGCGGGUCGGAAACCGCUUUCAGCAGGGAAGAGUCAAGACGGUACCUGCAGAAGAAGCCCCGGCUAACUACGUG